CUUGGCUGCAACAUGGGUGAGAAAAAGUUGAGAUCGUGGGUGGAAAAAUUCGAAGAGGUCGUUAGCUCAUCGUUCCGUUUCCCGUUUAAAUUUCGAACGAAUUUAACAGAGUGAUUCUAAGAAAAAGAGUGGAGAAAUUUCAGAAGCAAACGAUCUCGACAGAGAUAGAGAAAAAUUGUAUUCUUUCUUGGGAAAAAUCUUUUCGAGAGACGAGAUCUCUCUUUGUAUCUUCUCCAUUAGGAGUCGUUAUUUCUAGCUUGUUUCCAGGAAUUUUCUUUUCUCCGUGAAAAUACGCGGAGUAAUGGAUUAUCGUUUGUUGGGAAAGAAAACGAAGGAAAAAAUCUAUCGCAGAAAGAAAAGGCGGACUCGUUUUUUAAUAAAAGCAAGAUACGUUACGAUCCUCCCUCCAACGCACGCGGUACAUUGGCCACCAGAAUCUGCCCCAUGAAUUACGACAGGCCGGGCAAAUAAACCGGGAUAUAUACAUGCGCGCGGAACAAUCCAGGAAUUUCUAAUAAGCGUACGCCCCACUUUCGAAAUUCAUUUCAACGCCGGUGGCGGCACCUUCCCCCCUCUCGGGAACGCGGAUAAUGAAUUUGGAUCGCGUCGCCGAGAUAUUCGCUUCUUCUUCUCCCGUAGUAAUUAUCGACGCUCGAUAACUCGCGAUUAUAAUAAAAGUUUCGUUUUUUUAUUUUCGUUUUAUUUUCGUAUAUAUAAUUAUGUAAAAGGGAAAGAAAGAGUUAGCUUUUCGAAAAGCAAGAGGAAAGAUAAAGAGGAUUUGAGGGGACGGGUUUUGUUUAGAAAACCGUGUCGGAAUCGAGACGAGACGAGUCUCGUCGAAAAGGACGGCGGGAAAAGAUUUCCCAAAGGAGAUUCAUUUUCCGGAUGGAGAGAGAGAGAAAGGGAGCUCCUCUUUUCAUUGUUGGGAAUAUCGCGCGACAGCACGCCACGGAAACAGAGAGAGUAUUUAUCGCGAUGACAGUUACCAGCUUCCUGCCAGCUUCUGACCUCGCUUUGUAUUCCACGCAUGCGAAACAAUCGCGACAGCUCAUUCUGGCCCGCGGCGAUGCAAUUUCGGUAGAAGAAGAAAAAAAGGUUGCAUAUUUUCGCCACUACGAGAUAACAGAGAGAGAGAGGGGGGAGGAAGAUUUUCAUCGUUGGAAUCAACCGUGUAGUAAGAAGCGUUUGGAUCGGCCACGUAAAAAAAGUUGAGUUUACGGUUCAUCGCUUGCGUGGAAACAAUGCUGGGCCGGCUUUUAAACGAAACUGCCACUCGUAAUGGGAAUCGUUGUUUCUCUCGUCGCCCGUUCGUCCUCGAAAGAACAUUUAAACGUUAACAAUGAAUCGGUUUCGACGAAAAAUAUUCGAAAAGUGAAUUUUAUUCUGUACACGCGCAAUUUUUUCGACCGAGUGUUGAAAGAGGGAAAAUAAAAUUCAUAAAGCGCGUUUUAUGCGAAGAGAGAGAAAGACUUCUUUAUUUAUCUGGCCGAAAAAUUCGACCUCUAGCACGAGUCUUUUCUCGGGCCAUGGUCGAAACCAAGGACCGUUGUUUCCAUUCCGGAAACUUUGUUACGAAAUUUUGGAUGGAACGAACGCUGUAAGGCCGCGUUUAUUUACGUGCUAAUCUUUGAUUUCGAUCACCACUAUCUUGCAAUAAUUAUCGAUUUAUCUUUAUCUUCCAACCUUUUCGCUCCUCCUCACUCCUCCUCGUGCACAAAAACUCAUUCACCGAGAACACGUACAACAAUGAAAUCCCUUUCAUUCCCAUUCCCCUUAUCUUAUCUUUCUUCGUAUCUCGUCGCCUGCAAUAAAUUAAUUAGCGAUAAAUUCGA